UACAGGGGGUGCAAGCGUUGCUCGGAAUUACUGGGCGUAAAGCGUGCGCAGGCGGUUAUGUAAGACAGUUGUGAAAUCCCCGGGCUCAACCUGGGAACUGCAUCUGUGACUGCAUAGCUAGAGUACGGUAGAGGGGGAUGGAAUUCCGCGUGUAGCAGUGAAAUGCGUAGAUAUGCGGAGGAACACCGAUGGCGAAGGCAAUCCCCUGGACCUGUACUGACGCUCAUGCACGAAAGCGUGGGGAGCAAACAGG
rnacentral:rRNA from 1 species